rnacentral:rRNA from 1 species
GAUGAACGCUGGCGGCGUGCCUAAUACAUGCAAGUCGAGCGAACGGACGAGAAGCUUGCUUCUCUGAUGUUAGCGGCGGACGGGUGAGUAACACGUGGAUAACCUACCUAUAAGACUGGGAUAACUUCGGGAAACCGGAGCUAAUACCGGAUAAUAUUUUGAACCGCAUGGUUCAAAAGUUAAAGACGGUCUUGCUGUCUCUUAUAGAUUGAUCCGCGCUUCAUUAGCUAGUUGGUAAGGUAACGGCUUACCAAGGCAACGAUGCAUAUCCGACCUGAUAGGGUGAUCGGCAAAACUGGAAAUGAGACACGGUCCAGACUCCUACGGGAGGAAGCAGUAGGGAAUAUUCCGCAAUGGGCGAAAGCAUGAAGGAGCAACGCCGCGUGAGUGAUGAAGGUCUUCGGAUCGUAAAACUCUGUUAUUAGGGAAGAACAUAUGUGUAAGUAACUGUGAACAUAUUGACGGUACCUAAUCAGAAAGCAACGGCUAACUACGUG